CAGUCGCCGCGGGAAUACAGAGGGUGCGAGCGUUAAUCGGAUUUACUGGGCGUAAAGCGUGCGUAGGCGGCUUCUUAAGUCGGAUGUAAAAUCCCUGAGCUUAACUUAGGAAUUGCAUUCGAUACUGGGAAGCUAGAGUAUGGGAGAGGAUGGUAGAAUUCCAGGUGUAGCGGUGAAAUGCGUAGAGAUCUGGAGGAAUACCGAUGGCGAAGGCAGCCAUCUGGCCUAAUACUGACGCUGAGGUACGAAAGCAUGGGGAGCAAACAGGAUUAGAUACCCCCGUAGUCCCUGUCUCUUAUAA
rnacentral:rRNA from 1 species